ACUCCUACGGGAGGCAUCAGUAGGGAAUCUUCCACAAUGGGCGCAAGCCUGAUGGAGCAACACCGCGUGAGUGAAGAAGGGUUUCGGCUCGUAAAGCUCUGUUGUUAAAGAAGAACACGUAUGAGAGUAACUGUUCAUACGUUGACGGUAUUUAACCAGAAAGUCACGGCUAACUACGUGCCAGCAGCCGCGGUAAUACGUAGGUGGCAAGCGUUAUCCGGAUUUAUUGGGCGUAAAGAGAGUGCAGGCGGUUUUCUAAGUCUGAUGUGAAAGCCUUCGGCUUAACCGGAGAAGUGCAUCGGAAACUGGAUAACUUGAGUGCAGAAGAGGGUAGUGGAACUCCAUGUGUAGCGGUGGAAUGCGUAGAUAUAUGGAAGAACACCAGUGGCGAAGGCGGCUACCUGGUCUGCAACUGACGCUGAGACUCGAAAGCAUGGGUAGCGAACAGGAUUAGAUACCCUGGUAGGAUAGCG
rnacentral:rRNA from 1 species